rnacentral:sRNA from 1 species
CGAGCAAAGAAGACAAAAAAAGUAAUGAGCAUCUCAGACAUCGAAAACCCCAUUUGUUUCUUCACUAGCAAUCAAAGUGCAAGGAUAACAAUUUUUUCAUGGAUUCAUCACCGAUGCUCUCUUAUCAAAA